rnacentral:rRNA from 1 species
CCUACGGGUGGCAGCAGUGAGGAAUUUUGCGCAAUGGGCGAAAGCCUGACGCAGCGACGCCGCGUGGGCGAUGAAGCUCUUUGGAGUGUAAAGCCCUGUCAGGUGGGACGAACGCUCGGGAGGCUGAAUAAGCCUUCUGGUUGACGGUACCACCAGAGGAAGCCCCGGCUAACUCCGUGCCAGCAGCCGCGGUAAUACGGAGGGGGCGAGCGUUGUUCGGAAUCACUGGGUGUAAAGGGUGCGUAGGCGGUCCGUUAAGUCUGAUGUGAAAGCCCUGGGCUCAACUCAGGAACGGCAUUGGAGACUGGCGGGCUAGAGUACCGGAGAGGGAAGCGGAAUUCCUAAUGUAGCGGUGAAAUGCGUAGAUAUUAGGAGGAACACCGGUGGCGAAGGCGGCUUCCUGGCCGAGUACUGACGCUGAGGCACGAAAGCGUGGGGAG